GACGAACCGAGCGAACGUUGUUCGGAAUCACUGGGCUUAAAGGGCGCGUAGGCGGGCUGCCGCGUCCGGGGUGAAAGCCUCCCGCUCAACGGGAGAACGGCCUCGGAUACGGGCGGCCUCGAGGGGGGUAGGGGCACCUGGAACUGUGGGUGGAGCGGUGAAAUGCGUUGAUAUCCACAGGAACUCCGGUGGCGAAGGCGAGGUGCUGGACCCCUCCUGACGCUGAGGCGCGAAAGCCAGGGGAGCGAACGGG
rnacentral:rRNA from 1 species